CGUGGAGCUGUGGAGCUGUGGAGGUGUGGGGGUGUGGAGAUGUGCGGGGUGUCGAGCGUGUCGAGCAGCCCUGAAUUUACAGCUCAGGAAGCCCAGCGCGAGGCUGAAUUUGGGCGGCUCGCGCGUCUUAUUGAAGGAAAGACAGUGUGACAAGUCAUCGAUGCUUCCGGCUGCAGCGCUAAAGUAAUGAAAGCGCCGAUUGAUCUCGGACGAGCAGCCUCGAGAGCGCACCCGCUAUUAUUUAAGUCCCGGGCUUCACGCGAAGCUGUUUCCUCAUCCGCAGAAAUCGGUGCGAUGCCACGCGGGAAUAAACUGUAUGUGGAGGAAUAGCGCGAGGAGAAUUUUAAAUGCACGUUCAGUGUUGCUGGGGCUGUCCGUGCAGAUUUGGUCGUGGCGUUUUCGCUUGGUGGCAGCGAAUGGCACAGUGGAUCUGCCUCCACAUGCUAAUGCAGUUAUGGCCCCGAAGAAACGGCAGCGGCGAAGAUCGGGAGCUGAUCCGUCCGAGGCCACAGGAGUCUAACCGCUAGCGCCAUAUGGCUGGAUGCUCGUGUAUGUGACUGGCCUUCCCUUCCUCUGCAUCCAGGAGUCUCACAGAUACCUCACCCUCGUUUACAGCGCUAUGCUAACACGCCCUCCCAGGGAUUCUACGACUGCGAUCGCUAUUGUUGUUUUUGUUGUUGUUGUUUUCUUGGAUUGUUGUUGCCCUUGAUAUCCUUGCACUGAUUAUUUACAGGGCUGUGUAUUAAUGAACCCUGUUUUCUGUUUUAAGAUGAUAAACACUUUUCUUAGAAAAGCAGUGAGGAAAUAAGACCAGGGCUUCUGUAAGGAGAUGUAUGCCAGCACAUGUAAACAGAAUAUAUCCCUCGAACUCAUUAACAUCUUCAUGUUUAGGGUGCUGUUUUCAGUGUAAUAUUUAUAUGAAGAGCAGUACUCUAAAACAUCAAAAUGAACAUUAAUGCUUCACAUUAUGUAUUCAGUAGCGUUUGAUUAAAUUAUCGUGAACUCUUAAAAGCAUGUUGUUCUUCCAAUAAGCCCUGGUAUUCCUUCUGUCACGUGCUAACCUGUUUUAUGUCCAACUUAAAGUACAGUUAUAGCUUACACUCAGUGGUAAUGAGUGGAACUAUAUUGCAUUAAAAUGCUUUUUCUCCAAAAAGGAGUUUUUAUGCUGACACAACAAAAUCAUAGUCCUGAUCAUUGGGUAAAGCCUUUUGUUCUGAAACACUAUCUUAAGUUAUUAGGUUUAUUAGGAAGUUCCUUAGAAAUAAACAUAGCAGGUGGUAGAUUGUGUGAUCAAUGUGUUUUGUUUUGUUUUUUACCUCUGGAGCUGACAUAGUUCCUACAGUGGUUCAGAGUCUUAAGAAUAGGAGACUCAUGUAAAGAGUGCACAUAUUGUUCCAGUAAGUCCUUGUUUCAAUAAAAUUAUGUACGCAAUAUGAUAAUGUAAUAUAUUCAGUUCGAGGCUAAAAGGCAAGCAGGAAUAUCUUUGAUGUGACAAUGUCUGGGAUGAGACCAUAUGCCCCUC